rnacentral:rRNA from 1 species
UGGGGAAUCUUGCACAAUGGGGGCAACCCUGAUGCAGCGACGCCGCGUGAGCGAUGAAGCCCUUCGGGGUGUAAAGCUCUUUCGACGGGAACGAUAAUGACGGUACCCGGAGAAGAAGCUGCGGCUAACUACGUGCCAGCAGCCGCGGUAAUACGUAGGCAGCAAGCGUUGUUCGGAGUUACUGGGCGUAAAGAGUGCGUAGGCGGUCCUGUAAGUUUGGUGUGAAAUCUCCCGGCUCAACUGGGAGGGUGCGCCGAAGACUGCAGGGCUUGAGUAUGGGAGAGGUAAGCGGAAUUCCUGGUGUAGCGGUGAAAUGCGUAGAUAUCAGGAGGAACACCUGUGGUGUAGACAGCUUACUGGACCAUAACUGACGCUGAGGCACGAAAGCGUGGGUAGCAAACA